UGUUAAAAAUUUGAUCCAUUUGUACUGUUAAAAAUUUACGUGGCUGACGCGAUACGAAUAGUGAUACAUGACAUGCCACAUAUACAUCAUGUUGACAUAUAUGGACCGGUUUUUAACAGUAAAAAUGAAUAAAAUUUUUAAUA
rfam:Gossypium hirsutum cultivar TM-1 unplaced genomic scaffold scaffold336.1, whole genome shotgun sequence